CCCUUAGACGUUCUGGGCCGCACGCGCGCUACACUGACCAGUGCAACAAGCAUCCGUCCUUGGCCGACAGGCCCGGCCAAUCUUUGAACGCUGGUCGUGAUGGGGAUAGACUUUUGCAAUUUUUGGUCUUCAACGAGGAAUUCCUAGUAAACGCAAGUCAUCAACUUGCAUUGAUUACGUCCCUGCCCUUUGUACACACCGCCCGUCGCACCUACCGAUUGAAUGGUCCGGUGAAGCCUCCGGAUUGGCGCGCACCUCGGUGCCGCCGAGAAGUUGGCUAAACCUUACCAUUUAGAGGAAGGUGAAGUCGUAACA
rnacentral:rRNA from 1 species